GACGAACCGUGCGAACGUUGUUCGGAUUCACUGGGCUUAAAGGGCGCGUAGGCGGAUGGUCAAGUCGGGGGUGAAAUCUUUCAGCUUAACUGGAAAAGUGCCUCCGAUACUGAUCGUCUCGAGGGAGGUAGGGGCAUGUGGAACUUCCGGUGGAGCGGUGAAAUGCGUAGAUAUCGGAAAGAACACCAACGGCGAAAGCACUCUGCUGGGCCGACACUGACACUGAGAGACGAAAGCUAGGGGAGCGAAUGGG
rnacentral:rRNA from 1 species